UACGAAGGGGGCAAGCGUUGUUCGGAAUUACUGGGCGUAAAGGGCGCGUAGGCGGUGCACUAAGUCAGGCGUGAAAGCCCUGGGCUCAACCCGGGAAUUGCGCUUGAUACUGGUGCGCUUGAAUCCAGGAGAGGUUGGUGGAAUUCCCAGUGUAGAGGUGAAAUUCGUAGAGAUUGGGAUGAACACCGGUGGCGAAGGCGGCCAACUGGACUGGUAUUGACGCUGAGGCGCGAAAGCGUGGGGAGCAAACGGG
rnacentral:rRNA from 1 species